UACGUAGGGGGCGAGCGUUUGUCCGGAGUUACUGGGCGUAAAGCGCACGCAGGCGGUCUGCUAAGUUUGGAGUGACAGUUGGUGGCUUAACUGCCAAAGUGCUUCGAAAACUGACAGACUUGAGGGCUUCAGAGGGACACGGAACUCCGAGUGUAGAGGUGAAAUUCGUAGAUAUUCGGAAGAACACCAGUGGCGAAGGCGACUCACUGGCCCGAUACUGACGCUGAGGCGCCGAAAGCGUGGGGAGCAAACAGG
rnacentral:rRNA from 1 species